AUGGAUCAAAUGGGUUCCGCUGAGAAACAGAUAACUCCUGAAAUGAAAAUGUGCACACACCUACAAGACUAAAGAGAAUGGUUGAAAACGGGAUUAUCAGAUGAGAAGGAUCAAAAGUCUGUAAGGCCUCCAUGGAAAGCAGGUGCACACAGGACUGAGGGAGAAGUAAGAGGCCAGAGAACUCUUAUGGGAAGUUUGUAGGAGGAGAGAUUUUAACUAAGAUGUGAAAAUAAGACAUGGGAGAAAUCAGCAAGAAGGAAACAAGGCAACAGCUGAGAAAGAAG
rnacentral:lncRNA from 1 species